UUGAAUGAAACUUCUGGCUGGAUGCUGUUGUGCUGGCCCUUUGGGGCAAUGUGCACACCUCUGGCUGUUUGUUUCUUCUGUUCCACCUGUGCACUGUCUGUAGGCACACACACUGUGUCUAUGAUACAUUACAUACAUAUGAUGUUCUGCAUAGUGGUUGGCAAUAUAUUAUAUUAUAUAUAUA
rnacentral:misc_RNA from 1 species